rnacentral:rRNA from 1 species
GCACAACGCGAAGAACCUUACCUAGGCUUGACAUGCAUCUCUAAGCGCGUGAAAGCGUGUGACCCUUCGGGGAAUUUGCACAGGUGCUGCAUGGCUGUCGUCAGCUCGUGUCGUGAGAUGUUGGGUUAAGUCCCGCAACGAGCGCAACCCUCAUGUUCUGUUGCCCUUCGGGGAUCUCUGAACAGACUGCCCAGGUCAACUGGGAGGAAGGUGGGGAUGACGUCAAGUCCGUAUGGCCCUUACACCCAGGGCUGCACACGUACUACAAUGCCCAGCACAAAUGGAACCGACACCGCGAGGUGAAGGAAAUCGAAAAAACUGGGCUCAGUUCGGAUCGUAGGCUGCAAUUCGCCUACGUGAAGUUGGAAUCGCUAGUAAUGGCGCAUCAGCUACGGCGCCGUGAAUACGUUCCCGGGUCUUGUACACACCG